rnacentral:rRNA from 1 species
UACAGAGGAGCCAAGCGUUGUCCGGAUUGACUGGGCGUAAAGCGCACGCAGGCGGUGGUGCGCGUGGGGUGUGAAAUCUGGCCGCUUAACGGCCAGGCGCCAUUCCAUACGGCACGACUGGAGGGCUGCAGAGGUCGAUGGAAUUGCCGGUGUAGUGGUGAAAAUGCGUAGAGAUCGGCAGGAACACCAGUGGCGAAGGCGGCUUACUGGUCCGGUUCUGACGCUGAGGCGCGAAAAGCGUGGGGAGCAAACAGG